UACGUAGGGUGCAGGCGUUAAUCGGAAUUACUGGGCGUAAAGCGUGCGCAGGCGGUCUUUUAAGUCAGAUGUGAAAUCCCCGGGCUUAACCUGGGAACUGCGUUUGAAACUGAAAGGCUAGAGUGUGGCAGAGGGGGGUGGAAUUCCACGUGUAGCAGUGAAAUGCGUAGAGAUGUGGAGGAACACCGAUGGCGAAGGCAGCCCCCUGGGCUAACACUG
rnacentral:rRNA from 1 species